rnacentral:rRNA from 1 species
GACGUAGGGGGCCAGCGUUGUUCGGAAUUACUGGGUGUAAAGGGUUCGUAGGCGGUGCGGCAAGUUGGGAGUGAAAUCUCUGGGCUUAACCCAGAGGCUGCUUCCAAAACUGCUGUGCUUGAGUGUGAGAGAGGCUCGUGGAAUUGCAGGUGUAGCGGUGAAAUGCGUAGAUAUCUGCAGGAACACCCGUGGCGAAAGCGGCGAGCUGGAUCACAACUGACGCUGAGGAACGAAAGCUAGGGGAG